AUCCUGGCUCAGAUUGAACGCUGGCGGCAUGCCUUACACAUGCAAGUCGAACGGCAGCAUGAUCUAGCUUGCUAGAUUGAUGGCGAGUGGCGAACGGGUGAGUAAUACAUCGGAACGUGCCCUGUAGUGGGGGAUAACUAGUCGAAAGAUUAGCUAAUACCGCAUACGACCUGAGGGUGAAAGUGGGGGACCGCAAGGCCUCAUGCUAUAGGAGCGGCCGAUGUCUGAUUAGCUAGUUGGUGGGGUAAAGGCCCACCAAGGCGACGAUCAGUAGCUGGUCUGAGAGGACGAUCAGCCACACUGGGACUGAGACACGGCCCAGACUCCUACGGGAGGCAGCAGUGGGGAAUUUUGGACAAUGGGGGCAACCCUGAUCCAGCAAUGCCGCGUGUGUGAAGAAGGCCUUCGGGUUGUAAAGCACUUUUGUCCGGAAAGAAAUCGCACUUACUAAUAUUAGGUGUGGAUGACGGUACCGGAAGAAUAAGGACCGGCUAACUACGUGCCAGCAGCCGCGGUAAUACGUAGGGUCCAAGCGUUAAUCGGAAUUACUGGGCGUAAAGCGUGCGCAGGCGGUUGUGCAAGACUGAUGUGAAAUCCCCGGGCUUAACCUGGGAAUUGCAUUGGUGACUGCACGGCUAGAGUGUGUCAGAGGGGGGUAGAAUUCCACGUGUAGCAGUGAAAUGCGUAGAGAUGUGGAGGAAUACCGAUGGCGAAGGCAGCCACCUGGGAUAACACUGACGCUCAUGCACGAAGCGUGGGGAGCAAACAGGAUUAGAUA
rnacentral:rRNA from 1 species